rnacentral:rRNA from 1 species
AACUUUCAACAACGGAUCUCUUGGCUCUCGCAUCGAUGAAGAACGCAGCGAAUUGCGAUAAGUAAUGUGAAUUGCAGAAUUCAGUGAAUCAUCGAAUCUUUGAACGCAGCUUGCGCUCUCUGGUAUUCCGGAGAGCAUGCCUGUUUCAG